rnacentral:rRNA from 1 species
UACGUAGGGGGCAAGCGUUGUCCGGAUUUAUUGGGCGUAAAGAGCGUGUAGGCGGCUUUGCAAGUCCGUUGUGAAAACUCGAGGCUCAACCUCGAGACGCCGGUGGAAACUGCAAAGCUAGAGUCCGGAAGAGGAGAGUGGAAUUCCUGGUGUAGCGGUGAAAUGCUUAGAUAUGACAUAGAACACCAAUUGCGAAGGCAGCUCACUACACAAUCAUUGACGCUGAGGCACGAAAGCGUGGGGAUCAAACAGG